GAUGAACGCUGGCGGCGUGCCUAAUACAUGCAAGUCGAGCGAACAGACGAGGAGCUUGCUCCUCUGACGUUAGCGGCGGACGGGUGAGUAACACGUGGAUAACCUACCUAUAAGACUGGGAUAACUUCGGGAAACCGGAGCUAAUACCGGAUAAUAUAUUGAACCGCAUGGUUCAAUAGUGAAAGACGGUUUUGCUGUCACUUAUAGAUGGAUCCGCGUCGCAUUAGCUAGUUGGUAAGGUAACGGCUUACCAAGGCGACGAUGCGUAGCCGACCUGAGAGGGUGAUCGGCCACACUGGAACUGAGACACGGUCCAGACUCCUACGGGAGGCAGCAGUAGGGAAUCUUCCGCAAUGGGCGAAAGCCUGACGGAGCAACGCCGCGUGAGUGAUGAAGGUCUUCGGAUCGUAAAACUCUGUUAUUAGGGAAGAACAAAUGUGUAAGUAACUAUGCACGUCUUGACGGUACCUAAUCAGAAAGCCACGGCUAACUACGUG
rnacentral:rRNA from 1 species